AACGGCGAGUGAAGCGGCAACAGCUCAAAUUUGAAAUCUGGCCCCCAGGGCCCGAGUUGUAAUUUGCAGAGGAUGCUUUUGGCGCGGUGCCUUCCGAGUUCCCUGGAACGGGACGCCAUAGAGGGUGAGAGCCCCGUCUGGUCGGACACCAAGCCAGUGUAAAGCUCCUUCGACGAGUCGAGUAGUUUGGGAAUGCUGCUCUAAAUGGGAGGUAUAUGUCUUCUAAAGCUAAAUACCGGCCAGAGACCGAUAGCGCACAAGUAGAGUGAUCGAAAGAUGAAAAGCACUUUGAAAAGAGGGUUAAACAGUACGUGAAAUUGUUGAAAGGGAAGCGUUCAUGACCAGACUUGGGCCCGGUGAAUCAUCCAGCGUUCUCGCUGGUGCACUUCGCCGGGCCCAGGCCAGCAUCAGUUCGCCGCGGGGGACAAAGGCUUCGGGAACGUGGCUCCCUCGGGAGUGUUAUAGCCCGCUGCGCAAUACCCUGCGGUGGACUGAGGUCCGCGCUCCGCAAGGAUGCUGGCGUAAUGGUCAUCAGCGACCCGUCUUGAAACACGGACCAAGGAGUCGUCUUCGUAUGCGAGUGUUCGGGUGUCAAACCCCUACGCGUAAUGAAAGUGAACGCAGGUGAGAGCUUCGGCGCAUCAUCGACCGAUCCUGAUGUUCUCGGAUGGAUUUGAGUAAGAGCAUACGGGGCCGGACCCGAAAGAAGGUGAACUAUGCCUGUAUAGGGUGAAGCCAGAGGAAACUCUGGUGGAGGCUCGCAGCGGUUCUGACGUGCAAAUCGAUCGUCAAAUAUGGGCAU
rnacentral:rRNA from 1 species